GACUCCCGCCUUAGUGGGCGGAGUUGUGCCGCGUCUGAUGCGCAGUUCCCUUUAUAGCGAGGCAAGCCGAAUCCUAGAGGCUAACCCGGCAGGUGGGAGGGAGAAAGUUGCUUUCUGCACCAAUAGCUGAGGCGUUCAGGGUUGUCCAGGGACGCUACCCUCACGUGUCUGGUUCUGAGUGCUGCGUUCGGCUGUGCUGGGAAGUUGCGUAGACAGUGGCCUCGAGACCCUGCCUGCCUGAGGAGGCCUCGGUUGGACGCGAAGGAGCUGCAGCAUCCAGGGGACAAGAUGCCAACUGGCAAGCAGCUAGCUGACAUUGGCUAUAAGACCUUCUCUACCUCCAUGAUGCUUCUCACUGUGUAUGGGGGGUACCUCUGCAGUGUCCGAGUCUACCACUAUUUCCAGUGGCGCAGGGCCCAGCGCCAGGCCGCAGAAGAACAGAAGACCUCAGGAAUCAUGUAGAACUGGGGGGCUUUUUCUCCUGAGCAGAGAGGCCCAAGGCAUGCUGUGGAGAGACUUCACCUGCCACCAUUUCCAGGUCAACAGGACUAGAGCGUUGAUGGUUUUCAAACCCUGUUGGAAGAAAGUGCCGAUGGUUUCUCUGGUUCUGCCAGUCUAUGCCAGUUUGACAGUUUAUGGAGGCUUUUGAAUCGUAAUAGCAAUGUGAGGGUGAGGUACACCUACAGACAUUAAAUAAUUUGCUGUGUCUGUGUCUUGGUGUUUUUUGUUUACCCAAAUAGCAUAUGGACCACAAAAGGGGAGCCUUGACUACCAGUUUUCUGGGUAUAGACUGGAUUACCAUAUCUUGAGCUGUUAGCACCCAUGAAGUGGGUGAUAUACAGCUCCAGGAGUAGUAUCUGCCCUCAUGAUCUUAGAGGAAAGGUUGUCCCAGGAUUUAUAUAAAUCCCCUGAAAGAAUUCUGUAAGGAGCUUUUCUCUGGGUAGAGCCCAUUCCUGAGCUGAUUACUGGAUCUAGGUAUCUGGUUACUCUGGCCAGCAUGGCCACAUGUGCAGCUCUGCAUCAAGGAGGGUAGAGGCCCUUGUUUGACAGCCGUAAUCAAACUGCAUGCAGCAGAGGAGGAUAGUUCCCAAGAGGAAGGGCUGUUGGGCAGCGUGUGGUAAAGCAGUUCACCUCCUUAAGCUCAGUGGGUGUAGUAGAGCAUAAGGAUAGAUUCACUGUGCUACUGCACAGGAAACCUACCUGGAGGUUUUAUUGCAGAGAUGUGAAGAGGAUUUGAAAGAAAACAAAGUGCUUUCAAGACCUCAUUAGGAAGUGAGAGAUCCUUGCCACCAUUCCAUUUUGAGCUUUGAGGCUCAGCUGGUUCACCUCAUUCUUGGUGAUUGCCCAGAAUAUCAGCCUCUCUGGACGCCUGUCCUCUCCCAUACACUUAUGUGCAGACUGCGCUGACCUUUGCCCCUGCUCAUAAACCUCUUCCAUGAUUUUAAAACACCAACUUUCGGCUGGGCACAGUGGCUCACACCUAUAAUCCCAGCACUUUGGGAGGCUCAAGCAGGAGGAUCCCAUGAGCCCAGGAGUUUGAGACCAGCCUGGGCAACAUGGUUGAAACCCUGUCUCUACAAAAAAAUUUGAAAAGUUAUCCAGGCAUGGUGGUGCCUACCUGUAGUCCGGCUAGAGGAUCACUUGAGCCCAGGAGGCUGAGGCUGCAGUGAGCUCUGAUUGUGCCACUGCAGUCUAGCCUGGGUGACAGAGACCCUGCCAGCCAAAAUCCAUCCAUCCAUAUAUACAUACCAACUUUCCUAUAUCCUCAACCCCUGUACUCCCAUCUUUGUGUCAGCCUAGGCAUUUCUGCCUGCUCUGCUUUCCCACAGUAGGGUCAUAAUUCUCCCAGAUCCUCAGUGCCACUUUCGAAUAUUACUUUCUCUACCCAAGCAUCAGAUUAGUCCUUUUUGACAAACUUUCUUAUAUUCUCAUUUCUACUGUUCUAGACCUUGGAGACUUCAGGUCUCUUGAUUCCAUUUUUCCCCAAUCUGUCAGCCCCCUUUGCCUGCACUGCUUCCUUGUCCAGCAUAUGCCCAUAGAUGAUCCCCUGAACAACUCACCAGCACCUGCAGUCUCUGCCUUCAUCUGUCUUGUUACCGAGCCUGGACCUUGCUCCUUUAAUUACCCUUUCUAACUCACCCUCUUCUUUCGAGUAUGUAAACUUGCUUAAGGCCCUCUAUCCCACACCAAAACAGCUAUUCAAGGUUUGUUUGUUGUUGUUGUUGUUUUUUGUUUGUUUAGAUGGAGUCUCGCUCUUUCGCCUAGGUUGGAGUGCAGUGGUGUGAUCUCGGCUCACUGCAGCCUCCACCUCCCAGGUUCAAGCAAUCCUCCCACUUCAGCCUCAUGAGUAGCUGGGACUACAGGCGCAUGCCACUGUGCCUGGCUAAUUUUUGUAUUUUUAGUAGUGACAGGGUUUCACCAUGUUGUCCAGGCUGGUCUUGAACUCCUGACUUCAAGUGGUUCUCCUGCUUCGGCCUCCCAAAAUGAUGGGAUUACAGGCGUGAGCCACUGUACCUGGUCCCUGGGGUAGUCUUGUACAACAAAUUGUCCUAAGUCCUGCAUAACUAUCAGAUGUGCUAGAUAUUUGGUAGGUGAAAAAAGUUUAUAUAAUAAUUAGCUGAGCAUAUAACCUAACUCCCUUUUACAUAAAAACAAAGUAUUUUUUGUACAGUUCUGCAGGCAUGCAACUAAAUGGAGGCAAGACUGUACAGUAGUUUGUUCACCAUUUCAGAAAAUCGUGCCAUUAAUGGCUGAGCUGGCUCCUGGUGUUUGAGUCUCUGAUACAACAGAAUAUAUAUCAGUCUGCACAGGAUAGUAGAGUGUUUUAAGGCCAGGCACAGUGGCUUACGCCUGUAAUCCCAACACUUUGGAAGGAUGAGGUGGAGGAUUGCCUGAGCCUAGGAGUUAGAGGUUACUGUGAGCCAUGAUUGCACGACUGCACUCCAGCCUGGCAACAGAGUGAGACCCUGUCUUUUUUUUUUUUUUUGAGACAGUCUUCCUCUGUUACCUAGGUUGCAGUGCAGUGGCGCGGUCUCGGCUCACUGCACCCUUCUGCCUCCCGGGUUCAAGCGGUUCUCCUGCCUCAGCCUCCCAAGUAGCUGGGACUAUGUGUGUGCGCCACCACACCUGGCUAAUUUUUGUAUUUUUAGUAGAGAUGGGGUUUUGCCAUGUUGGCCAGGCUGGUUAACUCGAACUCCUGGCCUCAAGUGAUUCACCCGCCUUGGCUUCCCAAAGUGCUGGGAUUAUAGAUGUGAGCCACGGCACCUGGCCAAGACCCUGUCUCAAUUAAAAAAAAAAAAAAAAAGGUAGAGGGUGUGUUGUAAAUAUAGAAAGUAGCCCAAAGGCUGGGUACCAUGGCACAUGACUGUAAUCCCAGCUACUUGAGAGUCUGAGAUGGGAUAAUCACUUGAUCCCACCCAGGAGUGUGAAUCAGGCCUGGGCAUCAUAAUGAGACUAUUUAGUCUCCAAAAAAGAAAAACAAAAACCCAAAAAACUCAAAAGGUAUUGGGCUGUAUAGAUGAGAACCACUGGCUACAGGGUCAAGGUCAGUGCAGUGUCUUGGUUUGGGUGGCUAAAGCAAAUUACCAUAGAUGGUAAUAGCAAUUUAUUUCUCAUAGUUCUAGAGGCUGGGAAAUCCAGGAUCAAGUUGCCAGCAGAUCCAGUGCAUCAUGAGGACACACCUCCUGGUUUGCAGAUGGUUGUCUUGCUGUGUCCUCACAUGGCAGAAAGAGGAAGCAAGCUCUCCUUGUUUGUUUUAUAAGGGCACUAAUCCCAUCACGAGAGGUCCAUCCUCAGAACCUAAUGACCCCCUAAAGAGCCCACCUAAUGCUGUCCCACUGGGGGUUAGGGUUUUGACGUUGGAAUUUUGAGGAGGACACAAACAUGCAGUCCAUAACACAUUCCCUCUCAUGGUAUGCAAGACCUCUUUUUUUUUUUUUUUGAGGUAGGGUCUCCUCUCCGUUGCCCAGGCGGGAGGGCAGUGGCAUGAUCAUAGCUCACUGCAGCCUCAACCUCCUGGGCUCAAGUGAUCCUGCCGCCUCACCCUCCUGAGUAGCUGGGCUACAGGCACAUACCACCACACCUGGCUACUUUUAUUAUUUUUGUAGAGAUGGAGUCUCACUGUUGCCCAGGCUGGUCUCAAACUCUUUGCCUCAAGCAAUCCUCCCACCUUGGCCUCUUAAAAUGCUGGGAUUACAGGCAUGAGCCACCACACCUGGCUAUGAUGGUUAAUUUUAUAUGUCAACCUGACUGGGUCAUAGGGUACCCACAUAUUUGGUCUUACUCUGGGUGUAUCUAUCAGGAUAUUUCUGGGCCUCAUUCAAUCCAUUGAAGGCCUGUACAGAACAGGAAGUCUGAUUAAGAGGGAAUCUCUGUCUUUGAGGUGGAAGAUCAGUCUUCUGCCUUGUGACGUGGACUCAGACUGGAACUCAUACCGUCAGCUCUCUUGGUUUUCAGGCCUUUGGAAUUGGCCUGGAACUAUACCAUUGGCUCUUCUGGGUCCUCAGCUUAUCACCUGCAGAUCUUGGGACUUCUCAGCCUCCAGAACCAUAGAAGCCAAUUCCAUAUAGUAAAGCUCUGUCUCUCAUCUAUAUAUCUUAUCGGUUCUGUUUCUCUGGAGAACAGACUAAUGCAUCCAUAUUGACAGGAAAAUAGUUCAUUCAUUGUAAUUGCUGUAUAAUAUGCCACUGAAUGAGCAUAUCAAUUUGUUCCAUUACCCUAGUGAAGCGUUAUUGGGUUGUUCCCACUUUUCCCCUCUUAUAAAUCAAUAGCAAUGCAGUGAGUAUUUCGUAUGUUUACUUGGGCCUAUGUGUUAGUUUCUCCAAAGGAGGAAAUAUCACUGGUAUUUAGCUUUACCAGUUGUUAAGUUGCUUUUCCGAAGUGGUUAUGUGAAUUUCACUCUCACCAGCAUUUCCCUAUUCUGUUGGUGUUGAGUGGUUCUAUUAAUUUUAAUUUACAUAUCAUUGAUAUCUGAUAAGGUUGAGGACUUUUUUUUAUUGAUUUAUUGGCCAUUAGUAUGUUUACCCUCUGGGAUUUUCCUAUUUAUAUCCUUCCCUCACCCCCACUUUUUUUUUGGAGAUGGAGUCUUGCUCUGUCGCCCAUGCUGUGGUGCAGUGGUGCGAUCUCGGCUCACUGCAACCUCUACCUCCCGGGUUCAAGCAAUUCUCUCUCAGCCUCCCGAGUAGCUGGGACUACAGGCACAUGCCACCAUGCCAGGCUAAUUUUUGUAUUUUUAGUAGAGACAGGGUUUCACCAUGUUGGUCAGGCUGGUCUCGAACUCCUGACCUGAGGUGAUCCACCCACCUCAGCUUCCCAAAGUGCUGGGAUUACAGGCAUGAGCCACUGUGCCUGGCCCCACUUCUCUUUCUAUUGAGUUGUCUUCUUUGAAAAAACAGUUUGUAGGCAGUACUUUAUAUAUUCUGGAUAAUAGUAUUUUAUUAGUUACAUGGGUUGCAGGUUUGACUGAAAUCAUCUUUUGGAGUUUUUAUAGGGUGAGGGUGGCUGUAGAGUUCCAUGUUGCCUGCAUCAUAUGUCUCUCCAGAGCAAACCUGUGGACAGUGGAUCUGAGACCACUUUUUAGAACCUUCUUGGCUGGGGAUUUGGUGGGAUUGGUGGUUUUCCAGACCAUACAGGAAGAGCACUCAUUAUUCACAUGAGAAAGGUUCUAAAAUUGACAUAAGGGGCAGGCCCAGGAUUCAGAAUUUUCAACAAUCUCCUGAUCUCACAAGCCUAGGCAUUCAGACUUCCUUGCUUCUUCCUUUCACCACCUGGGUGGGGUUUUUUAAUGGUUUCCCCUCUUUCACUAAGGCUGUUGCUCUUUCAGGGUCCCAGCUUUAACUGGGGGUUUCAGUUUCCUGCCUGGAGCCAGUCUUGUCUUUAGUUGUCAGUAUUAAAACAAGUCCUUAAGACAGAGUCUCGGUCUGUCGCCCAGGCUGGAGUGCAGUGGCACGAUCUUGGCUCGCUGCAACCUCUGCCUCCCAGGUUCAAGUGAUUCUUCUUUUUCUUAAAAAACAUAAAGCUCUAAAAUGUAAGCACCCUGGCUGACUCUUCCUACCAUGCACAGAAAGGAAAAAUUUGGUGUCCAGGGCCUUCUGAAU